GUAGAGCCUGAUGUGGGGGCUCAGUCUCACAACCCUGAGUCGUGAGACCAAGAGUUGGACGCUUAACCGACUGUGCCACCCAGGUGCCCCUUACCCUUAGCCCACCAUCAUAAUGGUACUAGGGACUCAUUACCCUGUCAGGCUAGUUUUACACAGAAACUGGAGGAGAGAGGAGGCCUAUUGUAAUUGAAGCUUACAUUUUGUUUGAGGAUCUUGCAUUUUUCAUCACCCAGUUUGGGAUACCACUGUAUGUGCCCAUAUAGGAGUUUGAUUUUUACUACUCAUCAGGAUUGGAAUAUUACUGCAGCAGUCUUCAUGCUCAGGCAAAUUGCAGUCCUUUUAAAAAGUUUUAAUUUAAAAUCACUCAGAAAUUGUAUCUAAUUUCCCGAUAAUAGAAUCUAAUAGCUAACUUUUUAUAGAAAUUUCUAGAAGUGUUUAAUCAACUAUAAAUUAUAUACCUAUAAACUGUAAAGUGUUUAGAGAUAUGAAUUAGUUAAUAUGACAGAGAAACCAAUCUUAAACUGAAUUUAAUGCCCUAGGGUAUCAGAUUAAAUUUAUCUUCUCUGUGAUUCAUGUCUUAUUUUUACUAGAUUGAAGUUAGAAGAUAAGGGUCACUUUAAGUUCUUAAAAUUUACAGAGGUACAAACUUCCAGUUAUCAAAUUAAAUCACAGGGGUGAAAAGUUCAGAAUAGAGGGGGGGAAGGUAGAGGUUCAUUUGAAUAAAGUCAGUGCUUCUAAAGAUCUCUUUUGUUUUUCUAAACUCUUUCUGAUACAGUAAUCUGAGAAUUUCUCUGUAGAGCAGAGACUUUGAAACUUUGUGGUUGUAACCCACAGUAAAAAAUGCAUUUAUAUCAAAACUCAGAAUAUGUAUAAUGGCGAAUACCAUUAUGUGUAGUGUACUCUGAUGUUUUUUAUUUCAGUUUUUAAAAUACUGCCGGUUGCAACCUACUAUAUUGAUUUCAUAAUCUACUAAUGGGUUGUGACCCUUAGUUUGAAAAGAAGAAAACACCGUAUGGAGGAACUGCUAUCUAUUGAAUAUCUUCUGUUUUCCAGGCACUUCACUAGGCAUUUUACAGGACUGAGUGAUGCAACAGAAGAAAUCUGAAAAACACCUCCAGGACUUAGGAGCCACGAAUUGAAAAAUGAAGAAUUUGGAGAAUUACUGAUCUUACAGUGCUCUAGAUUGCUGUGAAUACAAAGGUAGAGGAGUUCCUGCAUCUACGGCAUUCACAUGCUGAGGAGCCUGAGGCCCAAAGUAGACUAGAUAAAUGAGAAGACUUCCACCUAUGACAUUCUCCCAUGCAUGGUUCGGAGGGGAAGAAGUCUAAUUUUCUGGCCAUUCUCUCUCCUGUGCUGGACCCAUUUCAUCAUAUCUAGACCUGCUGCCACAAUAUCCUGUCUCAAACUUAAAUAUGAACAUACUUCCUGGCUUGAAAAUCUGUGAGUGGAUCUCUACUGCCUGUAAGAUUUGGUCCAUCCUCUGACCUGAAGACUACAACUUCGAUUUCAGAGUUACUGAUUAAAAACAAUGAACUGAACAGAACUAAGACCCAACCUUGAGGAAUUUCUGUCCUGCCUUUCUAAAAGUCUGGUAAGAUAUCCUAAACAUGCCCCUUAUCACCUUAACAACAUUUAUUAUUC